rnacentral:rRNA from 1 species
UACGGAGGAUGCGAGCGUUAUCCGGAUUUAUUGGGUUUAAAGGGUGCGCAGGCGGAGGUGCAAGUCAGCGGUCAAAUUGCGGGGCUCAACCCCGUACUGCCGUUGAAACUGCAUCCCUUGAGUGCGCGAGAAGUAUGCGGAAUGCGUGGUGUAGCGGUGAAAUGCUUAGAUAUCACGAAGAACCCCGAUUGCGAAGGCAGCCUGCCGCAGCGUUACUGACGCUGAAGCUCGAAAGCGCGGGUAUCGAACAGG